rnacentral:lncRNA from 1 species
CCUCUGCUUCUCAUGCUCUUUCUUUCUUCAGUGGUCUCUAAACAUUUGGAGGAGAGGCGUGUGCUGGGUGGUUCUGUUCUCCCGCUUGAGCCUGUGCACACAGCUGGAUUCUGGUGGAGGACCCCAUGCAUCUGGGCUCAUGAUCCAAGAAACAGCUUUCUAUGCGGAGAAGUCUCUGCAGCGGGCACCAGGGUGCGAACAAAAGUCUUCGGGGCUGAGAUGAUGUAUUUGACUUACUAUCGAGUGGGGGAAAAUUGGAGAUAAGCGAAAGAUGAUCGUAAUCGUGCUUUAUG